GCAGCGGUGGGUCAGAGGGAGGAUUCUCGCCUUCCAUGCAGGAGACCUGGGUUCAUUUCCCAGCCAGUGCA
rfam:Loxodonta africana unplaced genomic scaffold scaffold_18, whole genome shotgun sequence.